UGGUUCUGGCAUNGAUGAAGAACGCAGCGAAAUGCGAUAAGUAAUGUGAAUUGCAGAAUUUAGUGAAUCAUCGAAUUUUUGAACGCAUAUUGCACCUCUUGGUAUUCCUUGAGGUAUACCUGUUCGAGCGUCAUUUAUAAUCUAAGGACUUUUUUAGUCUUUGUGUUGAUUUUAUCUUUUGGAGAAGAUUUUAUCGAAUUAUAUUAACAUCAUUUUGUUUUGAUCUAUUUAUCACAGCAAAAUGUGAGAAAGAUUUUACAAAGAUUGUUUAUAAUAUGUACAUUUUUUUUAAGAGAGUAAAGUUAAAAUCACUCUUUUUAAUUAAAAAUACGCUUAAACUUCAUGACCUCGGAUCAGGUAGGGAUACCCGCUGA
rnacentral:misc_RNA from 1 species